rnacentral:lncRNA from 1 species
GUACAGUCACUCCACAGGUCAUGCAGGGAGCCAGUCUGACGGCGGGCCGCAGCGAGUGUCUCCAGGCCCCUGUCCAGCCCCGCCCAGUCCCUGUCCAGCCCUGCCCGGGCGUUCCUUUGCCUGUGCUGUCGGUCCCCAUCCCCAGCCUGCCGGGCCACAUUCUUAGAGCACCUGAGCACCCCCAAGGGACUGGGGGAUCUGGUGGCUGAGGGCUCGGUCAUGACUCGGGGUUAGCACUGUAGGUGCAAAAGCCCUCACCUGGAUACAGGCCCUGGGGCCCAUCUGGGGUCAGGGCACGGGUGGGAGAACUUGACCUCUGCCCUGCCUGGGUCAUGGAGCCCCAAGGCCAGCCUCAUCCCGGCUGCUCUAGGUCUGCACCUCUGGCCAGCCCCACCUCUGCUUCCUGCCCUGCUGUGCAGGGGAGGGAGGUCGUUGUUGCUAAAGACCCUCCAGAAGCCACUGGAACAUUGCCCGGCUAUUAUCACAGACAUGGCAUCCAGUGUUCAUAGAAAUCCACGUCCAGGCAACCGAUGUCACCUCCCAGGCUGGCCCCAGGCCCCUGGGGACGGAAAGGACCUAAACUCUACAAUUUGUCAAUGCCGGAGGGUGGCUUUGCCACCACUUCACUUACAGGACAAAAAGUGCCUGUCCUCCAGUGCUCAUUCCCUGGGCAAGUAUUGAUCGAACACCUACUCCAUACCAGGCGGGGGCAGAGUCACAUGCAGUGAGAGGCACCCAGGCCCUGCAUUGGAUCCUCACGGCAGCCAGCCCUGAGGGCACCGCUGCUGCCCCACUUUCCAGACCGGGAAGCCGAGGCCCACAGAAGUUCCUAGCUCACAGCGCAGGAGCCCGACGCGGAGUGAGAAGGCCUGGUUCUGCUUCUGCGCUUCCGUAG